rnacentral:rRNA from 1 species
GUCAAGUCAUCAUGGCCUUUAUGCCCAGGGCUACACACGUGCUACAAUGGGAAGGACAAAGGGCUGCCACUUGGCGACAAGGAGCUAAUCCCAAAAACCUUCUCUCAGUUCAGAUUGCAGUCUGCAACUCGACUGCAUGAAGCUGGAAUCGCUAGUAAUCGUAUAUCAGCAAUGAUACGGUGAAUACGUUCCCGGACCUU